ACUGCUCAGUAACACGUGGUCAAUCUACCCUCAGGACGGAGAUAACCUCGGGAAACUGAGGCUAAUAUCCGAUAGAUAAUGGAUCCUGGAAUGGUUCAUUAUUCAAACGGCACAUUGCUCAUGCGCAGUGUGUCGCCUGAGGAUGAGACUGCACCCUAUCAGGUAGUUGGUGGGGUAAUGGCCCACCAAGCCUAUAACGGGUACGGGCCCUGAGAGGGGGAGCCCGGAGAUGGGCACUGAGACAAGGGCCCAGGCCCUACGGGGCGCAGCAGGCGCGAAACCUCUGCAAUGCGCGAAAGCGCGACAGGGCCACCCCGAGUGCUAGCCGCUGAGGUUAGCUUUUCCUUAGUGUAGUAAGCUAAGGGAAUAAGCGGGGGGCAAGCCUGGUGUCAGCCGCCGCGGUAAUACCAGCUCCGCGAGUGGUCGGGACGAUUAUUGGGCCUAAAGCGUCCGUAGCCGGCCUAUCAAGUCUCUGGUUAAAUCUCAAGGCUCAACCUUGAGAUCGCUGGAGAUACUGUUAGGCUAGGGGGCGGGAGAGGUUGAGGGUACUUCGCGGGUAGGGGCGAAAUCCUAUAAUCCGCGAAGGACCACCAGUGGCGAAGGCGCUCAACUGGAACGCGCCCGACGGUGAGGGACGAAAGCCAGGGGAGCAAAGGGGAUUAGAUACCCCCGUAGUCCUGGCUGUAAACGAUGCGGGCUAGGUGUUGGGUUGGCUUCGUGCCAACCCGGUGCCGCAGUGAAGACGAUAAGCCCGCCGCCUGGGAAGUACGGCUGCAAGGCUGAAACUUAAAGGAAUUGGCGGGGGAGCAC
rnacentral:rRNA from 1 species